ensembl:lncRNA LINC02153 long intergenic non-protein coding RNA 2153
GAGAUGGGAGCAGCCAGCACCGUGGAAUGAGGCAAGGUUUGGAGGGGAAGAGCUCACGACAUGCUUCUAAACACUUAGCUAUGUGACCAUGAGGAACUCACCACCCCUCCAGCUUCAUCCACCUCACUUUUCACAUGAGAAAAGUAACAAACUUGUGCUUUGUUGGAAUCAAAGGCGGUAGCAAGUAAAUGUAAUAAUGCUUUUAAACUGUCAAGUCCUAUUCAGAUGAAAAGAUACACCAUUGCCUUUCUCCUAAGCAGGGCAUUGUGCCUCCAUGAAUACCUACAAUCAAGGUGUUCCCAGGCCCCAUGUAUACACUGCCAGUGCCAGUGCUGGGGGAUUCCAAAGGAGCAGAAGUUGUGGGCCCCUCCCAGCUGGAGAAUAACAUCAAGCCUUCCUCUUUAUAUAGGCUUAGAGAGCCACUACUCGAAGCCAAGCCUUACGUCAGGCAGCAGAGAUACCAAGAUGAGGUUGAAGAAAACACACGGCUUUCUCCACUCAUGGACUCCAAUGAGGAUGGCAACAACAUGGGCUGAGACUUGACCUUGUGACUCCAGCCUAGGAUUAUAUAAGGAUGUGACUGACCUUAGAGGAUUUCACGGGAACUUAGCUGUACACGUGGAACCCAUUUAUUUGCUGACACUUCUCAUUUCCUUUCAGAACAAACCUACAUUCCCAGACCUAUAAUUUUCUUGAGAAAAUGGGUUUAUUAUAAGUCACUCAAUAAAACACCCUACCAUGGCUUCCCAGUACAAA